UUGCAUAACAAUUAACUGGUUGUUUGUUAUUUCAUAGGCCGAAUCAUGUCUGACAUGGAUAUCGAGAAGAUUAGUUUACCACACGGCCUAUGCGCUCAUGUGGGUCGGGUUUAUUGUAGUGUUGAGGGAUAUUGCGACUGUUGUUUGGUAGAUGAUUUGUGCUAUCCAACUAUGGAUGAGUGCGAGAGAAAGUGUAAAAAAUCCUUGUCUUCAGAAGACAUACUACGGGCGAUGACAUCCCCUCCUUAUUUACCUGCUCCUUAAUUUUCCAGCCUAGUCAAAUUGGCUUUCUUGCAUAUUUACUUGUCCCAAGAAAUAAAUAUAAUGCCUGAUAUGUGUGUGGAAAUAAAUAUAAUGCCUGAUAUGUGUGUGGAAAUACCGUUGUGCAAUAAGAUUGAGUAAUACUCUAGCAAUUGUUGUUUAGUAUUUGGUUUGGCACAUUGCAAUAAAUAUGAGGCAUUCCCUUACCUUGUUCUUCAUGGAGCUACUAGUGCGUCGGGAUGAAAUGAUCUUCGCCAUUAAUAGCGGCUUCCGAGAUGUGGUAACUGAAAUGGGGCUGCCAGGAGGCGAUGAAGCUCCGGUAGUCGUGGAAUGCACAAUCUAUGGUUUUCGCCAGGUACCGUCAGAGCAGUCAGCCUUGCUGAUUUGCACACCAUCCCUCUUAGACCUAUGGCAGAAAAAUAAUUGUUAGCAUAAACCUGAGUGAACAACUAAGAACAAACAUUAAUUAUGACAAGUCCUUUUUUUUAAAGAUGGCUCCUCUUUCCUCCUUCACAAGAAGCUCUUCUCCUCCCGUCGGUGCCACCGCCGGUCCGCCCCAUCUCCGAUUGCCACUGGGCCAUGGAGGCGCGGAGGAUCUCGGCCCCUCGCCGACGGGAGCGACCCCAUUCUUAUUCUUGUUAGAUUCAGCGUCUUGGUUGGGGCUUUGUGGCCGUGGCAAUGUUCCUUGGUAAGAAUAAUGUCUCCCGCGUUCUAUCACCAGCCAGAUGGUGCGUCUAGCAUCGUUCAGGGGCGAGCCCACGUUAGCCCAGCAGGUAGCACAGGACACCGGGUAAAAAUCUCUCUUACCUUAUAAAUAUAGAGCCCAUAUACAAUGGGACACCCCUAAAUUUCCUACAAGGACACCCGUACAACCAGGCUCCAUCCAACAUAGCGCAAGUGCAGCCCAGCGCCCCAGCCUAGGAUGACAGCCACGGAGGCCCAGUCCAGCCUUUCCAGGGAUGCGAGCAGUACAUCGAUCGAUCGAUCCUGCCUUCGGCCGGCCCUUCGCCUCGCCUGUUCGUCUGCUCGACUGCGCUUCGUGCCCUUCCUGUUUCGCCUCUGUACUCGCCGCCUAUCGGCAGAUCGUGGCAAGUCGCCGAAUCAGUGAAGAAAAGAAGGCAUAGGUACCCUGCAUCAGACCCCCAAUUCGAUGUGCUUCUGCCUCAGCCUCUAUUUAUAAAUCUUGAUCUAAUUAUUGCUUUGUUUUCCUAACCCUAGGGAAUUAGGGGUACUGGAUAAUACUAGAGAUUUUGACUAUAUGUCUGUAUUGGGUAAUUGGACUAUUUGAGAUAAUUGUGCAACCAGUGGAGACGGCCGGAAGCACCGGCACCAUGUCAAGUAUGUUUUAUAUGACAAGUAUUAAUAUUAUGUAUGUACACAUGAUUCAUAGUUCUUUUCUUUCAUGCAAAUUUUAAUUAUCUGAAUAAAUUACAAAUUUCAGGAGAGGCUCAGUUCAUGGAAAGGUUUCUAAAAAAGAGGAGAACCUCGGUGCAAGAUGAAAAUGUUGGUCCGUCACACGAAAAUAAUCAGAAUGAUGGCUCGGUCCCGGCACCAUCGGAUAGACAAGUUGAUGCCUCACCACAUGAACAGAUUGAUGUUCCGACCCCGCCAUCAUCACAUGGACAAAAUGACGCCUCCACACAUGAACCUAGUUCUACUAAUACUACAAGAAAUUCCUUUGAAGUUGAAGAGCUCAAUUGGGAAGAAGAAAUUCAAUUUGAUCCAGGUAGAAGGAGAAGCAUAGAAAUUCAAAAAAUGGUGGAGACAAAAAAACAUAUUGUCUAUCCCUUGGUUUAUCGACUUUUGAAGCUAGCACUAGUAUUGCCUGUUGCCACUGCUACAGUUGAGAGAUCUUUUUCAGCUAUGAGAAUUGUGAAGACAUAUUUGCGCAAUCGUCUUGGUGAUGACUCCUUGAAGUACAACCUUAUUUGUUAUGUGGAGAAAAGCGAAAUGAGGAAGGUUACUAAUGAUGCGGUAAUUGAUCGCUUUGAAGCCAUGAAAGAACGUAGGAAACCAUUUUAGGAAGGUAAUGGUUUUAACUUACUUAUUAUUACACAACUGUAAUUAAUAUGUUACUUAGUGGUUUUGUUUUUUUAUUUGUAGGCAAUCAAGAUCUGAUGUUGCAUUUUCUUGUCGUCGGUUAUACUUUAUUCAUAAUUUGGACACUUUGAUUUUUCUUUGAUGAUCAAUUUCCUACGAUCAACUAAUAUUUCAAGUGAAACUCCUUAUUUUGGAUCAUUGGUAAGCAUAUUCAUGGUUAUAUCGUAUUCUAGGUAUAUUGUAUUGUUAAACGUGUUAUUUUUAGCUAUAUUAGUACUUGGUAUCCAAAUAUAUAUGAUAGACGUGGGACCCCGGGUAAUUUUUGUCCUGCGUCCGCCCCUGGCAUCGUUGGAGGGCGUGUGGAGGUUUGUCUCUGUUGGAUCUCGCGGGAUUCGGUCGGUGCUGGUCUUCGGUGGAUCUGUUUGAAUCCGGUCUUCGUUCGUCUUCGUUUGGGUGUUUACAUGAUUUGAUAUUUCUGAUCUACGAUUUUCUUCAUCGAUGAUGGUUGCUACCCCAGUGCGCUGGUCCUAUAGGACCUUAGCACGACGACUUCCCAACUGAUUACUACGACAAGGUUUGUUCGGUUCCAACGAGGGACAUGCUAUGAUGGCGGCGCGCCUUCGGCUCGCUUCAGUACUUGUAGUCGUCGCUAGGUGGUCCACUGACAUGGUUGUAAUUUUUAUUAUAACUAUUGUUCUUUGCACUGCCAUAAUUGAAAAUUAAUAGAUUGAAAGUUUCUCGCAAAAAAGUCCUUUCUAAAUAUAACGAAUAGUGUUAACUUAAAAAAAUGAAUCACAUUCAUGGUUGAAAACUGAAUGACUUAAGAAACUGAACUAAUGCUGAGAAAAUGAUAUAAGAAAACAAUUAAAACUGGAUCUAAUCUAAAUAUGAAAACUAAAACUUAGUCUUGAUGUGUUGAAGUAAUGCUGAGAUCAGGAACAUCAAACACUUCCUCUAUAAAUACUGAUUGCCACUUGUUUAGUUUGGAGUUUGGAUUGCACCAACUCUACCUAGUUUUACUACGAGUAGUUUGUUUGUCGAAUCACAGAUGUCAUCCACGGGCAAGGCAAGUCUAACAAAAGGCACCGUGGCAAUACAAUUAAAAAUCACAUCACAUUGCCAUAAUCUUCAAAAGUUCUAGGAAGUACAAGGACCUUUUCAUUUCAUCAUAAUUGGAAAAAUAAGCAUUUACAGUUGCUACUUGCAACUAAGCAAGAACCAAACAAGCAUAUCAAUCUAAGCCACAUCACAUCAAUAACUGCAGUUUAAUUAGAUGCUCUAAACGUAUCAUCAUCCUUGACACUAACCCUCAUUCUGAUCAACAGUGCAUCAUAAUCACAUCAGCAAGCAUUGCCGUUUCAGAUGCCUUAGCCUUACAAUAACUAACAGACGGAGGCUCUAUACAGUUCUGGUUAACCAUACACCACAUAGAAUUACAAAUGUAAACACUCAAUUUGCCUGGGACACAUGCGUGUGCCUGCGACCUGGCGGUUGCUUGCUAAUGGUGAGCCCGGGUGCGAUAGCACCGCCAACCAUCUCUAUCAAUCCAUGUUGUUCAUUCACAGGCGAGAUGCCCCUUCCUCCAUCGACUCCGUCCCCUCUGCUUUACAGUCCCUACCUCAUUUAUGCAAGGACAAAAAGUGAAACAUAGGCUGCGGACGAACUGAAUCUAUAUCUAUAUUUAUAUCUAUAUCUAUACCCCUACUAAUAAAGCAAGGUGCGUUUCUUCCAUUUUUUCAUCCGUUCACCACCAAUUUUUUCAUUCUAUCCAAGGUGAUACUAAUUUUUUGUCUGUCCAACUGCUUUUUUUGUCCAACUUCUAGAAAAGAAACAGUUUUAUCCAAAAUUUUGAACGUGGCCGCACACAGCGAAGCCAGCCCUUUAUUUCCUGCCCAUUCAGCUGAGAACCCUCAUUUACCACACAGGGCGGCAAAUAGACGAAGUUUCACAUAUGGCGCCCAGUAUUGGGAUGGCCCGUUUUCAUUUUUUUUCUCUGUUAUGUUUCUUUACCCUUGUUCUUUUCUCUUUACUUUUUCUUUUUUCUCUUCCAGGUUUAUUUCUAUUUUUUUAUUUUUUCAUAAAUUAAAUUUUCAUUUUUUCAGAAUUUUAGUUUUUGAUUAAAUUUUCGUAAAAUCUCUAGAAUUUAUUUUUUUGUUCCCAUUUUGAAUUUUUUCCAAACUUUAAUUUUUUUCCCAUUCCAAAAUUUAUUCAAAACUACAGAAAAUGUACGCAUUUUAAUUAUUUUGAUGUUUUCCAAAAUUAUUUGAUAUUUUAAAAAUAAAUUGCAUUUUAGAAAAUGAUACAAAUUCAAAAAAUAUUCAUUUUUAUUGAAGUGUUCACAAAUUCAAAGUAAUGCUUGUGUUAGAAAACAUAUUUUUGAAAAUUGUUUCAAUGUUCAAAACAUGUUUUCAUUUUCAAAAAUUGUUCACAUAUUCAAAAAAUGUUUGUUUUCUUACAAAAGGUUAAUGUUUUCUAUUUUUUUGUUAAUUUCAAGAAAUUGUUCACGUUUCGAAGAAUAUUCAAAAUAUCAUAAUUAUUAAUUUAUUUUUUGAUAAGUUCAAAAAAGAUGAGAGAAAUAAAAAAUGUUUUGAAUGGUACGCUACAGUAUAUUCUUAAACAUUCGCGCUAGCCAUUUGUUAACAGGAGUUGUUUGUUCAAGUGGCUGGCAGCACGUGGUCGAGUUUUUUAGGUUGUGAGUUUGAUCCUUCAACUCAGUGGUUGUUUUCGAUUUUUGUUCGCACCUUACAAACACAUGUCAUUUUGGUGCCUGCUACUGGCCUAGGCAGACUCGAACUGUUGUGCAUCCGACGUGCUAUUUGACAAUAAAAGAGAAUAUGUUGGUUGAUUAUAAGUAAAAGAAAUUGUGGGCACAUGUCACUAAAAGAGGAUAUGUUGAUUUGGCUGACUAAAAAUAUUUGGACAAGUGAGCGCCGAAAUAAUUACAGAGAAUAGACCCUGGUAAAGUAGAGACUACAUGGUUAUGUAUUGAUUAUACCAAUGAAACAGGAUUCACUGCAAUUCAUACUAUAUCCGUUACGCCAUCAUAGGAGAGGGUGGUUGAAGCAACUAUGCCUUGAAGGUCGCCGUACUACCACAAAAUGAGGCAACCACAACCUAGACACGGUGGCGGACCCAAACAAAAAAAGGCACAAGUUGGGUGGUGGCCACCACUCCGACCAACCUCAUCACUAUUAAGAUCUCGUGGGCCAAACAUGACCCGUGAGAACAUCGUAGCUCCUCGCUCUGUAGCCCCAUCACUGCGGAGACUGUUUUAGUGGACACAUCAAUUAUCUCUCUGCUGCUUCUCGUAAAAAAAAUCUCUCUCCUUGCAAUGCACGGGCAUAUGUGCUAGUAGAAAAAAAUUGUGCAUGUGACUCGGGGAGCAAAAUCCCGAUGGGGACCCACAAACCUUAAGAGCAUCUUUAAUUGAUGAUGGAGACACAAAAAUAAUUAACUUAUACAUCUUCAAGGUCCCAAAAUGUUGCUCCAAUAGAUGAUCUAGAUGCAAAAAAUUACAUCACCUCCUUCAAUGAUGUAAAAUUCAACACUAGGAGAUGCAAAUUUGCAUCUUAAUCUCCCAAGUGAUGUAAAAGUCCAGUCGCGCGCCAACCACCCAACCUCGUUCAUUUCAUUUCCGCUCGAUGCCCGCCAACCUCAGCCAUCGGCGAUUUCUGCCGGGAAAUGCCGCUGCUGCCCAUCCGUCCAUCCUCGUGCCCGCCGCCAGCCGCGCUGCCCUAGCCAUCGAUGACCCACCAUUUGGGUCCGCCCCGCCGACGACCGCCCACCUCCGUCGCUGGCGAUUUGUGCCUGGAAAUUCCGCCGCCGCCCGUCCGUUCACCCCCACCCCGCUGCGGCCAGGCGGGCUAUCCCCGCUGCCGAUGACCUUCCGAUUUGCGUCCGCUAGGCCAAUGACCGCACGGCCGAUUCAGAGCUUCGUUGGAGCUCCGACGGCCGUAAUGGUUGUACUAGCUCACGGCCGCCUUCCUUGGUACUGCUGCAUACCGCCGAAGCUAGUAGGGAAGCCACGUGACCACCACAACCAAUCGAGCUAGGGGUCUCUCAAUCGUUGCCGCCACCACUACGUCGCCACGAGCGGAGUCCUCCGGUAGCCGCAUGGCUGUCCAGAGGCUAUUGAAGCAGCCGCCACCCACCCCAAACAGGCUUUGUGCUGCCCUGCAAUGCUCCGACCCGCCGUUGGCCGGUUUCUUCCACCUCGCACGCAAUGUGUUCAACCAAAUUAUUUGUUGGAGUAGGAGCUUUACAUCACCAAACAUACAUCAUCUGUUGGAGUAGGAGGUUUACAUCACAAAAUAUACAUCAUUUGCUGGGGUUGGCUCUUUUUUGGUGAUGUAAAAGUCACUUUUUGGUGAAGUCUAUUAUACAACAUCCAUUUUUACAUCUCCAAAUUUACAUAUCUAUUGGAGAUGCUCUAAAAUGAAAGAAAAACCUGACUCACACAGGAAAAAUGAAAAACAGAUGGCUGAAAAUUAGGAGAAAUGUUACUUAUGGGGUGUUUGGUUUCAGGGACUUUUUUGUGUUGGAACUAGAAAAAGUCCCUAUAAAACCAAACAGGGUGGGACUUUUUGCUAAAAGUCCUUAGAAGCACCUGCUUGAGAGUCUUUUUCAAAAAAUCCUAGGAACUAGAAAAAGUCCUAGGACUAGAGAACCAAACACCACCUUAAAUCUCUCCUUCCAACUAUAGAACUAAUUAAUGCUAUUGCCAAACAAUAACUUCAAACGAGGCAAUCAAUAUUGGAGAAGUACAGUUCAGAAAUGUAAACAUUGUACGGGAUAACUUUGACAAAUAAUAAGUUCCUAAUUUUGGGAACUUGUCUAAAAGAGGAGAAAAUUUAAUUUUACUUCAUUUAUGUCUAUAUAAUGAGGUUCAUACUACAAAAAGACAAUAAAUAAUUUCAAUUUUAUCGCUCGAUGUCUACUGCAUGGGAUCGGGAUGAGCUAUAGCAUCGGAUCUCUCUUCUCUUAACCUCUCUCUCUCUAUAUAUACGGGAUCGGGAUGAGCUAGCAAAUAUUUCACAUCAACAACCAAAGUGGUUUUUUUUCGCUGGUAUUUUUUUUAACAACCUAAGUGAUUGACAACCUAGUGUUUUAUCAGGUGGGGUAUGGACAAGUACACAAUUCACAUCCUUGCACUAGCCCUCCUGUCUCUACAGCUCGUAUGCUCUGCUACUGUUGUACAAUGUAAGCACACCAAUCAAUUUUUAUUUCUUCACUUCUCUUGGAAGUCUAUAUGUAGUACAGCUAGUAAGGAGUUUUUUUUUAAUCUCUUGUGUGUUUAUUUAUUCUACUCUAAAGUAUACAAUUGCAUAACAAUUGAAUAUUUGUUUGUUAUUCCAUAGGCCGAAUCAUGGUUGACAUGGAUAUCGAGAAGAUCAGUUUACCAAACGGGCUAUGCGCCCAUGAGAGUUGAAUUCAUUGCGGCGCUCAUGGACUAUGCGACUGUUGUUUGGUAGAUUCGAUCUGCUACUCGACUAUGGAUGAGUGCACGAGGGAGUGUAAAAAAUCCUCAUCUUCAGAAGACAUACUACGGGCCAGGACAUCCCCUCCUCCUUUACCUGCUCCUUAAUUUUCCAGCCUAGUCAAAUUGCUUACAUGCAUAUUUUUACUUGUUCCGGGAAAUGCAAAUAAUGCCUAGUAUAUGUGUGGAAAUACAGUUGUGCAAUAAGAUCGAGUACUCUAGCAAUUGUUGUUGAGUAUUUGGUUUGGCAAAUUGCAUCUAAACUUUUGCCAAUUAUUGCGGGCUAAGUUCUAGUAAUAAUGCAACCUAGGUAGAAUGUGAGGCCUAAACCGGAAGUGCUUUUCCUCGAUACACAUGCACCGAGCUAUUGCUGUCUGGAGAAAAGCGGCCAUGAGUCUCAUGGAAACAAGAUCUUAAUUGGUUCUGAUCAGCACUAAAACACAUCUCAUGUUUUACGAAGAUACCUAAGCAAAAUUUACACAUUGAUUUAAGAAGUUGAUUAAUAUAUGCAUAAUUUGUUAAUACACUCCGGUAAUUAUAAAAUGGUUGCAUGCAUCGUCCAGAUGGAGAGGCCGGGUAUACAUCCUUCUUUUCAAAAAAAUAAAAAUAAAAA
rnacentral:lncRNA from 1 species